rnacentral:lncRNA from 1 species
UGCGUGCUAGGGUGCCAAAUUUAAAUCUCAACCAAUCACAUUGCGCCAACGUAAUUUUUUGAAUCUCCUGACGUUGGAGCCUUAAUUCUUUUUAUUUUCUUUUUGUUUUCUUUUUCUUUUAUUUCAUGUCUUUUUGAAUUAAUUUCUCACUCAUUUUUAAUUCAAUUUGAUCCAAUUUUUUACAGAAAGUCUCUAAAAAUAUUUUGAAACACAUACAUUUUUCUCCCAUUUUUUAAAAUCAUUUUUGCAUUUUUGAUUAUUUUUAUUUCAUUUUAUUUUUAAUUUUCUUUCGCAAUUUAUUUUUUGAUCAUUCUCAAACCUUUUGGAAUCCAACUUUUGAAAUUCGUUCAUGAGUAAUAAUUAGGACUUUCUG